GAUGAACGCUGGCGGCGUGCCUAACACAUGCAAGUCGAACGAAGCUUGACGAAUGAUUUUUCGGAAUGAAUUCUGAUAUGACUUAGUGGCGGACGGGUGAGUAACACGUGAGCAACCUGCCUUUCAGAGGGGGACAACAGUUGGAAACGACUGCUAAUACCGCAUAAGCCCACGACCCGGCAUCGGGUUGAGGGAAAAGGAGCAAUCCGCUUUGAGAUGGCCUCGCGUCCGAUUAGCUAGUUGGUGGGGUAACGGCCCACCAAGGCAACGAUCGGUAGCCGGACUGAGAGGUUGAACGGCCACAUUGGGACUGAGACACGGCCCAA
rnacentral:rRNA from 1 species